CCUGAUACAAUGUUGACCAAAAAAGAGUACAGUAAUUCUUUAUCAAGUAAAUUAUAUGAUGCAUUAUGAACAAAUUAAUAAACAUUCAAACCAUCGGGAAAUACUACUAGAUGAUGGACACAUUGGACAGUCUCUUAAGGAAUCAUUUAACAAGAUUAAUAAAUAUAUACAUUCUUGAUUUCUUUAGGAUCUUAUUCGUUUUGCCAUGUGCUUCCAAUUUUUUUUUUCCCGAUUCGAUGUAUAUUGAAAAAAUUACUCGAGCUCUCUGAUGUGAACGCCAUCAAUGCUGCAAAAAAAAUAUAUAUAUUUGUACCAUAAUUUCCUUACGGUUUCUCUUUAAAGCUAAACAUUCAUAGGAAGUUUCUGUUUUUUUUUUUUUUUUUUUUUCUUACGAAGGCUU
rnacentral:lncRNA from 1 species